rnacentral:misc_RNA from 1 species
AACUGAUACUACCUGCGGGAACCUGCGGAAGGAUCAUUACCGAGUCUCCCCCGGCGGGCGGCCCGCGUCCAGCUGGGCGUCGGGCUGCUCCCGCCCGGGUGUCGACCCAACCGUGUCUACCUGCACCUGUUGCCUCGGCGGGGAUGUCCGGCUGGCUCCCCGCCGGAAGGCCACCAGAGAACCUCAGUGGAAUGGCGGUCUGUCUCAGCUAAAAUCUAGUUAAGCAAAAACUUUUAACAA